rnacentral:rRNA from 1 species
GACGAACGCUGGCGGCGUGCUUAACACAUGCAAGUCGAACGAAGUGGCGAACGGGUGAGUAACGCGUAAUCAACCUGCCCUUCAGAGGGGGACAACAGUUGGAACCGACUGCUAAUACCGCAUACUGAUGGAGGGGAUUGCGUCUGAUUAGCUAGUUGGAGGGGUAACGGCCCACCAAGGCGAUGGUCAGUCGCCGGUCUGAUAGGAGGAGCGGCCACAUUGUGCGUGAGACACGGCGCAGACUCGUACGGGAGGCGGCAGUGGGGAGGCUUCCGCGAUGGACGAAAGUCUGACGGAGCAACGCCGCGUGAGUGAUGACGGCCUUCGGGUUGUAAAGCUCUGUUAAUCGGGACGCGGUACCGGAAUAGAAAGCCACGGCUAACUACGUGCCAGCCGCCGCGGUAAUUC